rnacentral:snRNA from 1 species
GUGCUUGCUUCAGCAGCACAUAAACUAAAACUGGAAUGAUACAGAGACGAUUAGCAUUCCGCUGUGCAAGGAUGACACUCAAAUUACUGAAGCAUUCCAUAUUUUU